AUUGAACGCUGGCGGCAGGCCUAACACAUGCAAGUCGAACGGAGUGUCGGACGGGUGAGUAAUGUCUGGGCAACUGCCUGAUGGAGGGGGGUAACGUCCGGAAACGGGCGCUAAUACCGCAUACUAUCAGAUGAGCCCAGGGGGGAUUAGCUAGUUGGUGGGGUAAAGGCCUACCAAGGCGACGAUCCGUAACUGGUCUGAGAGGAUGAUCAGUCACACUGGAACGGAGACACGGUCCAGACGCCGACGGGAGGCAGAAGUGGGGAAUAUUGGACAAUGGGCGAAAGCCUGAUGCAGCAAUGCCGCGUGUGUGAAGAAGGUCUUCGGAUUGUAAAGUACUGUAAGUUGGGAGGCGUUACCAACAGAAGAAGCACCGGCUAACUUCGUGCCAGAAGCCGCGGUAAUAC
rnacentral:rRNA from 1 species